CAGUCGCCGCGGUAAUACGUAGGGUGCGAGCGUUAAUCGGAAUUACUGGGCGUAAAGCGUGCGCAGGCGGUUUUGUAAGACAGGCGUGAAAUCCCCGGGCUCAACCUGGGAAUGGCGCUUGUGACUGCAAAGCUAGAGUGCGGCAGAGGGGGAUGGAAUUCCGCGUGUAGCAGUGAAUGCGUAGAUAUGCGGAGGAACACCGAUGGCGAAGGCAAUCCCCUGGGCCUGCACUGACGCUCAUGCACGAAAGCGUGGGGAGCAAACAGGAUUAGAUACCCCAGUAGUCCCUGUCUCUUAUACA
rnacentral:rRNA from 1 species